GUGCCAGCAGCCGCGGUAAUACGUAGGGUGCAAACGUUGUCCGGAAUUAUUGGGCGUAAAGAGCUCGUAGGCGGUCUGUCGCGUCGGCUGUGAAAACUCGGGGCUCAACUUCGAGCUUGCAGUCGAUACGGGCAGGCUAGAGUUCGGCAGGGGAGACUGGAAUUCCUGGUGUAGCGGUGAAAUGCGCAGAUAUCAGGAGGAACACCGGUGGCGAAGGCGGGUCUCUGGGCCGAUACUGACGCUGAGGAGCGAAAGCGUGGGGAGCGAACAGGAUUAGAUACCCUGGUAGUCC
rnacentral:rRNA from 1 species